AUGCAGUGGCUGAACACUGGGAAGGAACUGGUACUUGGAGUCUGGACAUCUGAAACUUGGUGGAAAGAAGAAAAACUCGAGCCAGCCUGGGAAGGACCCUACCUUGUGCUGCUAACCACCAAGACUGCUGUUCGUACAGCAAAAAAGGAUGGACUCAUCACACCCCAGGGAGGAAACAGCAUUCCUUGGAGACCUGAAGGGAUGAGAUGAGCUUAAGAAUUUUCAAGAGCUUAUCAGUCAGCCCUUGUUCAUCCCCGAGCGGAUGUGUGGUGGUAUUGUGGUGGAGGACCUUUAUUGGGCACUCUGCUGAAUAACUGGAGUGGCACUUGUACUUUAGUCCAGUUGGCUAUCCCUUUCACCCUGGCAUUUCAUCAAUCAGAAGGAAAAAAAAUAGGACAUCAUAAAGUGAGAGAAGCCCCUUAUGGGUCUUUAGACUUUCAUGUCUGUUUAGAUGCAAUUGGAGUCCCAUGAGGAAUACCAGAUCAAUUUAAAACUUGAAAUCAAAUAGUUGCAGGAUUUAAGUCCAUAUUUUGGUGGGUGACAGUUAAUAAAAAUGUAGAUUAGAUAAACUACAUCUAUUACAACCAAUGGCAAUGAGGUUUUC
rnacentral:lncRNA from 1 species